rnacentral:rRNA from 1 species
UACGUAGGCAGCGAGCGUUGCUCGGAGUUACUGGGCGUAAAGGGUGUGUAGGCGGUUGUUUAAGUUUGGUGUGAAAUCUCCCGGCUCAACUGGGAGGGUGCGCCGAAUACUGAAUGACUAGAGUGCGGGAGAGGUGAGUGGAAUUCCUGGUGUAGCGGUGAAAUGCGUAGAUAUCAGGAGGAACACCGGUGGUGUAGACGGCUCACUGGACCGUAACUGACGCUGAGACACGAAAGCGUGGGUAGCAAACAGG